rnacentral:lncRNA from 1 species
AACACGAACUGAAGAGCAACUUGUGAAAUUUAUUUAAAAAAGAAAAAAAUUUGUUCAAGAUAUCCAUCAGAAGAUUUUCAGCUGAUUUCUACAAUGAUUUCAACGAGAAGACUCAUCAUUAUCUUCAUUGCAACUCUAGCUAUGUUUGCGGCCUUAAUAAAUGCAAAACCAGCAACGGUCCGCCCAGCAGGAGCCAUAACAGCGUAUCCUAUACCACAGCGACCACCAUACGCACCAAAUCCAUGGGUUUAUCCAAAACCCACGGUCGAACCAAUUCAUCAAUGAAAAUCAUUAAGUUGGAAGAUCUAGGUGGAAGAAGAAAUAUGUAGCAAGGAAAAAAUAUUUAGUAAGUUGUUGGAAUUCCUUUCCAUAAUUACCAGACUGUGGCUUUUUAUGAAAAUUCGCAUCUUUA